CGUGAGAUGUUGGGUUAAGUCCCGCAACGAGCGCAACCCUUGUCUUCUGUUGCCAUCAGGUUAUGCUGGGCACUCUGAAGAGACUGCCGGUGAUAAACCGGAGGAAGGUGGGGAUGACGUCAAGUCAGCAUGGCCUUUAUGUCUGGGGCUACACACGUGCUACAAUGGCCGGUACAAACCGUCGCGAUACCGCAAGGUGGAGCUAAUCGGAGAAAGCCGGUCUCAGUUCGGAUAGCAGGCUGCAACUCGCCUGCUU
rnacentral:rRNA from 1 species